GUGGGGAGGAGGGAGCGAUGCAAUGCCCAGGGCUGCUCCCCAGAAACCUCGCUGCUCCUGGUGAUCCCGUUCGCCAUGUGAUCCCGGCAGAGCUGAGGCUGGCUCCGAAAUGGGAACCUUAGGGAAGAGGAAGGAGAACCCGAAACCUGCACAAAGAUGCAGCACUGCCCCUAAAACAGCACUUGAACUGAAGCAGAUCAGUCGUUGUGCCUCCCAUUCAAAUCCUACCCAGAUUACUGAGUUCAGAAUAAUGAUGCCUUUGGGACACUUAGCCAAAGGCGCCAGCCUGGAGAACCUCAUUGAAACCUGCCUUCAGUCUUUUGAUUCAGAGGGAAACCUAUAUCAAAACAACCAGCUGCUACAGAUAACACUGACCAUGCACAGAGUUAUCAUCCCCUCUGAGGAUGUGCUCCGAAAACUAAUUGAUCUAUAUCUGGAUGCUUUAGAAAAGAAAUCUGGGCUUUGUGUAAAGAUAUGCUAUUUUGUAAGGUAUUGGAUAACAGAGUUCUGGAUCAUGUUCAAAAUGGAUUCUAGUCUAAUUAACACCAUGGAGGAAUUUCAGAAAUUGGUGAGAGCUAAUGGUGAGGAGUUACACUGUCGCCUAAUUGACACAACUCAAAUAAAUUCCCGGGAUUGGUCCCGAAAGCUUACACAGCGGAUAAAGCCCAACACCAGUAAGAAAAGGAAAGUCUCACUUCUCUUUGAUCAUCUAGAGCCGGAAGAGCUAUCAGACCACCUCACCUACCUUGAAUUUAAGUCCUUCCGAAGAAUAUCAUUCUCAGAUUACCAGAAUUACAUUGUAAACAGCUGUGUAAAGGAGAAUCCAACAAUGGAAAGGUCCAUUGCUCUUUGUAAUGGUAUCUCCCAAUGGGUACAACUAAUGGUACUCAGUAGGCCAACACCACAGCUUCGGGCUGAAGUGUUCAUCAAGUUUAUUCAUGUUGCACAGAAGCUCCACCAGUUGCAGAAUUUCAAUACUUUAAUGGCAGUGAUAGGAGGUCUCUGUCACAGCUCUAUCUCCAGACUCAAGGAAACAAGCUCUUAUGUUCCUCAUGAGGUCAACAAGGUGUUUAAUGAAAUGACAGAACUGCUCUCAUCUUAUAGGAACUAUGACAAUUAUCGACGUGCCUACAAUGAGUGCACUAACUUUAAGAUCCCAAUCCUUGGGGUCCACUUGAAAGACCUGAUCUCCCUUUAUGAGGCCAUGCCAAAUUACUUAGAGGACCAAAAAAUUAAUGUGCAUAAACUACAGUCUCUGUAUAACCACAUAAAUGAACUGAUACAACUCCAGGAGAUGGCACCUCCCUUAGAAGCUAAUAAGGAUCUUGUUCAUCUGCUCACGCUGUCACUUGAUCUUUACUACACUGAAGAUGAAAUAUAUGAACUAUCGUAUGCACGAGAGCCAAGAAGCCACCGAGCUGCACCUUUGACACCUUCCAAACCACCGGUAGUUGCAGACUGGGCCUCAGGCAUAGCUCCAAAACCUGAUCCAAAGACAAUCAGCAAGCACGUUCAGAGAAUGGUGGAUUCUGUCUUCAAAAAUUAUGACCAUGAUCAGGAUGGAUACAUUUCUCAGGAAGAAUUUGAAAAGAUUGCAGCCAGCUUUCCAUUCUCAUUUUGUGUCAUGGACAAGGACAGGGAAGGUCUGAUUAGCAGGGAUGAAAUAACAGCUUACUUUAUGAGGGCUAGCUCGAUCUAUUCUAAAUUAGGUCUUGGCUUUGCUCACAACUUCCAAGAGACCACUUACCUAAAGCCUACGUUCUGUGACAACUGUGCUGGAUUUCUCUGGGGAGUUAUUAAGCAAGGAUAUAGAUGCAAAGACUGUGGAAUGAACUGUCACAAGCAAUGCAAAGACCUGGUUGUAUUUGAGUGCAAGAAAAGAUCCAAAAGCAUGACUGCAGAUAACAGCCCGACCUCAGCCCUCGCUUCUAGCCUCUGUCCUGUAGGAGUCAAAGAGCAAUUCCAUGGGCAGGAGGAAGGACCAUUUACAUUUCCUAAUGAAGAAGUGGCUGAACACAAUGAAGAGAGCAAGGACCGAACAAUUAUGCUUAUGGGUGUCUCGUCCCAAAAAAUCUCAGUGAGAGUGAAGCCAGCUGUUCUUGACAAGAGCACACAGACUGAGCCAGCACUGGCAAAUAGCGCUGUACCCAGUAGGCAGAUAGAGAAGGAGCACGGGAUGCCAUCGGAAAAUAUUUAUCUACAGCCCGCAACACCAUCUCCAUGCCCAAGCCCAGUUCUAAGCCGCAAAAAGGCUUAUGUAAAAUGGGAAAACAAAGACUCAAGUCAGAAACGAAAGGAUGAGCAGCACAUCUAUAAACCUUCGUACCAGGAAGUGGAGCAGGAAAGAAAUAUUCUAAAGGCAGAAAAUGAAGCUUUAAAGAUUCAGCUUAAACAGGCACACAAAACAAUUGAAUCUCUCAGUAUUCAACGCAGAAAUCAUGUCUUGGAUAAUACACAACACAGAGACUGCGCGUAGCUGACAAGGCACGAGCUCUCCUCUGGAUGAAUGUAAAAGGAGAGGGCUUUUUGAACUGUGACAAAGCUGCUGUAUUCAAGUGAACAGGAAACAGAGACUGAAAGAUUUUAAACAGAAAUAUACUCUGUUGAAUCAGCGUAUUUUGCCUGUUCAAUAUACUGCUGAAUGUAUAAAUGUGUUCCUUUCUCUGACAGUUUAAAAUAAUUUAUCUUCUGAACCCGGGAAUUAAUACGUUCUGGAAUCUCUCUCAAGAAGGGUGAUAUAGGCCCUGAAGUUUAUAUUUAUCAUCAGUAAGCAACUUCCAUGUCCAAUAUGGAUGAUGCGACUCUACAAGUAGCUACUGUUUCUGUCGAGUGCCCAGUGCCCACCUACAAGUGUUCCGACAAGGUAUGUAAUUAAGCGGACGACACCAACUCAAAUUUGGCCCAGAUUCAGGUUUUCUAACAAACAUUUGAUAAAUCUAAGACUUUUGAGCAAUUUUUGAUAAGAUAGAAAUUUCAUGGUCCCAAUCAUCGCUGCAUUAAGAACUGGAAAGUGCAACUGAGUUCAUUGAUUUUCAUCAUCCAACAUUAGAAAUACGAACUGAGUCCUCAGCAGCAAGAAGUUCUGCUCUGCCAUUAAAUUUCCUGCCUGACUCUCAGGACCCUGCUACACCUGCUCUUCUGCAAACAUUCUCCCUCUCGGGUCCUAGGUCACUGGCUGGAGUAUCAGCUUGCUAAGGCCAUUUGUAAAGUUCUUCAACUGCCUUGUCUAAAAAUCCAUGCCAGUGUGGGUCAGAUUUUUGACACAGACUAUUAAUUUGUGCAUGUGGAACCGGCAUUUGGGGCUGUACCUAGCUCCCACUGAAAACAACAACAAAACCUCCAUUGGCUAAACUGGGAAAAAGAACAAGCCCUACCACAUGCAAGUCACAUAACUGCAUUUCUGAUUUUUGCACAGGUAUAAAAAUAUCUCCCAUUGUUUCUGAAACUGGGUUCUUGUCUGUAGUUCUGGUAUCCCUGUAUGUCUGUGAUAGUGCAAGAAACACUCUUUAUAGGAGAGAGCUCCCCAGCCUGUGCCCUUUUGACCAAGAAGCCGGAGUGCUGGAGGUUUCAGACACUCUCCUUUCGCUACCUCUUCUUAGAGGCUGAAUGUUGCUGUACCUCCCUGGGAUGAUCUGCCUGGAGUUCCCAAACAGUCUAGUUUUCAAAAGUCUGAUGCUCAUUUACAAGGUCCCUUUACACUGCUCUACCAGCAUAAAGGUGUUUUAAUGUAAAUACAUUUCAGGGGGUGUAAGUUUAAUUAAGAAUAGAGAGGAAUAGACAUAGGCUCUGUAUACAGUAUUUAAUCUAACACUGUCAAAUUCAGCUAGAUAGGUUCUCCUUAUGACAAACUCUUAGAAAUAUGAUGUAUUUUUAUUUGCUGUGGGCUUGUCUAUACAGGGAAAUUAAUUCAGAUUAAGGUAAAGCGUGAAUUUAAAGCAGAAUAGCUAUUCUUGAUUAACUCCCUUAACCCAUUUUAGAUUAAGCUAAUUCAGAAUAAGGCACUUUUAUUCCAGAUUAAAAACAUCUACACAGGGAGUUAAUCAAGAACAACUUUAAAUUUAAAUCCAACCUUAAUCUGAACUUCCCUAUAUAGACAAGCCCACAAAAAAUAAAAAUUCGAGCUGUCAAGGAAUUAAAAAAAAUUAAUCGGGAUUAAUUGCACUGUUAAACAAUAAUGGAAUACUAUUUAUAUAAAUUUGUGGAUGUUUUCCAU